UGAAAUGGAAGAGGAGGAGAUGGACAGCAUCACUGAAGUGCCUGCAAACCGCUCUUUUCUGAGGAACUCCAUGCGCUCUCUUUCUCCUUUCCGGAGGCACAGCUGGGGACCUGGGAAGAAUGCAGCCAGUGAUGCAGAAAUGAACCAGCGGAGUUCAAUGCAAGUUCUUGGGCAUGUUGUCAGGAGACCUCCCAUUCAUAGGAGAAGUUUCAGUCUGGAAGGCUUGACAGGAGGAGGUGGUGUUGGAAAUAAGCCAUCCUCAUCUCUAGAAAUAAGCUCUGCAAACUCCAGCGAGCUCAGAAACCCUUUCAGUGGUGAGGAGCAGAGGAGCUCUUUGAUGUCGCUUUCAGAAGAACACCUGGAACCGGACCAGAGACAGCACCAUAGGAUGUUUGACCAGCAGACAUGUUACAGGUCUAAACAACAGGGAUUUAACUACUGUACAUCAGCUAUUUCUUCUCCAUUGACAAAAUCCAUCUCAUUAAUGACAAUCAGUCAUCCUGGAUUAGACAAUUCACGGCCCUUCCACAGUGCCAGUGCCAACCUGACAGAGAGUAUAACAGAAGAGAACUGUAAUUUCCUGCCUCCAAGCCCCUCAAAAAAGAGUUUUGAAGAAAAGAGUGGGACUAAGGUUAGUCGCACCUUCAGCUACAUCAGGAAUAAAAUGUCCAGCAGCAAGAAGAGCAAA
rnacentral:lncRNA from 1 species